rnacentral:rRNA from 1 species
UAGUCAAUGCUCGCAAGAGUGAACUAGCUAACUGAAAUCAUAUAUGUGUCAUAUGUGAUAAAAUAAGGGAAAAUAAUGAUAUAACCUUAUUAUUAGUGUUGUCCAAAACUGGUGCCAGAAGACUCGGUAAGGCCAGAGACGCGAACGUUAGUCGUCUUAAUCAGGCGUAAAGGGUUUGUAGGCUGCUUUGACAAUCUUAAUUUUUAUUAUAGCCAAUAUUUUAAAAUAAGAUCAAUUAAAGCUAGAAUCAAAUAGAGGAUAAACCAAAUAAUACUUAGAGUAGGGCCGAUAUCCAUAAAUACUAAGUGGAAUACUAAAGGUGAAAGCUUUUUAUCUAUAACUGAUUGACGCUGAGAAACGAAGGUGAGGAAAGGAAACAGGAUUAGAUACCCACAUACCCCUCUCUGUCAACGAUGAAUGGUGGCUUGCUAAUUUAAUGAAAAUAUUAAUAAAAUUAAUGUUUUAAAUGAAAAAAAAUUGGUAGCGAUGUUAACACGAUAACCAUUCCGCCUUGUGAGUACGACUGCAAAGUGAAAACAA